CUUGGUAAGUAUUUAGUGUUUGCAGUGAAUAUAUAUCAGUUUGCUUAUAUCUUCAAAACCCAUCCUCCAUCCUCGUUUACUUACAAAACAUUUCUGCUGUCAUAAAUUAGAGGGGUUGUAUCAGCUAGUCUUUUAAUUUCUCCUCUUCAUAUUUUAUGGAUUGCCGUGGCGGAAAGAACACAAACGGGUGCAUCGAUAAUCAAGCUCCUGUUCAUUUGUGCACAGAUCACAUCCAAACCGCAGCUGUCGGGAAAAGUCUGGACUCAGCACCGUCUCGGCUCGCUUUUAAAAAAUCUAACGAGACGCCUGAUCUGACGCGACAGCUCCGCCUGAGUCCCACAUUCAUGGAACGUCACUGAGUCGGGUGUAUUCUCAUUCUGCACACUCACUUUUGUCUUGAGAUGAAUUUAAUCACACAAAGAUUGUUUGAUGGAUUUCUUUAAUCCCCGAAAAGAGAGUAAAACACACAGAGGACAGAAAUUACAUCAGAAAAUCACAGUGAAUCUAAUUAUAGCUAAAAAGCAGACAGCAAAUGACAGACUAACAACAUGUAAUCACUUCUUAACAAAACGCACGCUUCAACAACAUGCAGCGUUUCCUCCUCCAGACAGCAGGAGUGUGUUGGAUGUGUUUAAAAAAAUAAAAAAAACACAUUCUGUGUAGCUCAAACUCCCUGUGACAAUUUUACAAGGACACUUGACCUGAAUGAUUUAAAGGAAAGGAGUGUUGCAAUGCAAAAUAAAAAGCACAAGGAAGGAGGCGACAGAAAUACCGUUGCGAGAAAGCACUUUGAGUAAUUGGCAGCUGAAUUCACGAAGGAAUAAAACGCUUCAGAAAGAAUUGAAAUCAGACAAUUAGAAGUUCUUUAAGGAGCUGCUCCUGAGUCCGAGAGGAGGAAGUAAUCACCUCCCAAAACAGGAGAAAUGAUUCCCGUCUUCGUGCAGCUCGCUUUAAUUAGAGGCCAGCAGCUUUUCAAUUAUUUUUAUUACAAAAUGACCCUCAGUUUGCUUGAACACUUGUUUCUUUUUCUUUCUUUUUUCCUGAUUUACAUUUAGACAGCAAAGAGGAAAAAAAGGUAGAAAAAAGACCCCCGUCAGUUUCAGGCUAGAGGAGGGAUGGAUCUGAACAAGUCGAGGCUGUGAAUAAAAACAGGCAAAAUUGAAAUUGAAAAAAUUAAGGGAAAAAACAAUCCUUUGGAUGAGUUAGAUUCAAAACUAAGUAGUAGAAAAUCCUGAUUACAAGGAGGUGAACACCUGGGUUUCAGUAUAAUUAACAUGGGAUGGGUUGAAUUCUCAAAAAAUAUAUAAAAUAAAAAAUAUAUAUUUUAAUAUUUCAUCAUGUUCCCUUAGCUUAAGAGACGGAGACACUCGUUGUUCUUGAGUCUUAAACUCUGGUUUUAAAAUUCAGUGUUCUGGGUCUCAGCCAAACAGUUUUUAGGCAACAUACUGACCCUGCACUGUCACUGAGGUAUUUUUAAUUGCUUAGGACACCGCUGGGUAAAUCUAAUGUGUUUUUAAGGGGAUGGAGUGUUAAAAUAUAGAGCAGUUUGUGUUAUUCUCCAUCUAGAUGUGCAGAAUCAUGCCAGAAUCAGAGCUCAAAUCAGGAAAAAUACACUGAAUGAAGAUGACUGGAAACAAAGUAUUUGCUCUUCCUUGAGACCUGAUUGCAUCCGAAUCUAAAUUUACAAGAAAUUUAAAUUAUGUCUGAAGCUAUAAGUAAUUAUGUUUACCUUUUAUAUAUCUGAUGCUGUGUCAAAUUAUAAAACCAUCCUUCAUUUCAUUAUGUUUCUUUCUGAUGAAGUAAAAUAUUUUAUUGAAUUUGUCCUGAUCAACAUUUGUUCUGAAAGUAUUUGUUCAAACUUGAAUGCUUUACCACUCAUUUACACUCUGAUGCUCAUUUCAGACUCUGAAUUAUUGUUCCAUACAUGCUUAUAAAAAUGAAAUCUGAACAAAUAGAAUAGUGAAAAAGUGUUGGGCCUAAAAAUAAACAUCUGUCACAGUAUCUGAAAGCCAUAUCCUCAGUUUAAAGCUGUUGUUACAUGUAAAAAUAUGCUUUAUGUGUGAUUAAAAUAGGAAAAAAAAAAAACAUGGAUUUUGUAUCAUUUGAGAUGUGGCCAUGUUAGUUUGUGUUAGAAUGCAAAAUGUAGGCUGUAAGCUCGGCUACUUCGUUGUUUAUUUCAUGUUUAAUCAUCAUUUGACAAUCUUGGGCUGAAAGUUUGAGGCUCUAUAAUCAGUCUAUGUGUAACAAGGUUUUAUUUUAACAAUACUAUAGAUGUUAAGUUUGUCAAAAUUUGUUUAUUUGACCUUUGAAUUUAUUUUGUUUAGUCAACAAGUUGUUUCUUCAGACAUUUAUUGGUGUUUUUAGUUCGGUUACGUGGCUCUUGGCAGUUGGUGGUUACCAUAGCAACCAGUAACUGACAACUCCUCCCACCUUUUUUCUGUUGCCGUUGGUAACUGUGGUAUGUAUUAGGAUCAGCUCUGUGUUUUGUUUACAAAUAUCAUAUUGUAACAUAUAUUUUAUAUAAAUUUAAUAAUACUUUGUUUCAUGAGUAUUUUUUCUAUGUCUUGUAUGUUUUUAACUGUUAUGUUAGCUAUGUUUAAUUUUACAAAUGCUAACUGCUGUUAACUGCUCACUGGGAGUUAUUGCUUUGCAGUUUGUUUAGGGUUAUUUAUUGUAUUUUAUUUAAUGAAUAGAACUGAUGUUAACCACCAACUUGAUUUCCUCUUUUGCUAGAAUAAAUACAGUGAACCUGAAAGUGUCUGUUGUGAAUCUACUGGAGCUGAGACGAACAUAGAAGUGUAGGAGAUAUGGACUUAAAGUUUUAUCACAAUAUUUUGUGGUAUGUUGUGAUAAUGAGAAAAGUGGCUAUUAGAUAACUAUUUAUUACUGUAUGGCUGUAACAGCAUAGUAGAACAAUUAUAGCUCCCAAAACAAAAAUGCUGCUCUGAAAAAUCUAACCCAUGUGCAAUACGCUUCUUUAGGUCACUAGUGAUCUGUGUCACACAGUAUCUGGAUUUAAUCAUAUUUUCAAAGAUAUUGAUAUUUACUGAUGCUCUGAUUGAAGAAAUGAUGGAAAAAAACAGCAUAAAUAACAAUCCCACUGAUUUUUUAAAAACAUCAUUAAUUUGAACAUAUCGUGUCAACAAUAAAUCAGAAUUCUUACCAUGAUAAAGAAAUUUAUCACGAUAAAUGAUAAGAUAAAGGCCCACUGAAGUUCUAAGUGGUUUUAUAUUUGAUAGAUAAUUACAUUUUAAAAUUUCAUUUUAAAAGGUUUAAACUCCCCUACUUCAACAUGUUGAAGUGAGAUAACCUUCAUCACUGCAGAGAGAGUGUCUGCAUGGUAUAACAUGAGGUUAAGGAAUUUUGUUAUUUUAUCAUUUCUAUAACGUUUGUGACUUGAAAAUUGCAGCAAGAAGCAUAAAAGGUGAAUAAAAAGAAGAAAACCGAUGAGGAAGAAGUAGAUCUGACAAUGACUGAACACAAACAUAGAGGAAGGUGAUUACUGCAAAAAGGAACAAGCUAGGCUGAUGUAGUGAGGAAACACAAAGAUGAAUGGUAACAUGAAUAAACACAAAGAGCUAAAUAACACCAUGGUUAAAUUCAGAGCAUUACAACCAACCACAAUACAGAAACCAGGCAAAUUUAACUCAAGGUCUUACAAACUGUGACAGUGGCAGUCUGAGUUAGCUUGAUAUAACAUUGUGUGGGCAGAAAGAUAACACUGAAUCAUUAUUUACUUAAUAAAUGUGCCUGUGUGGCAGCAUACUGGCAGCUAAAUGCAAAUAUCUAUUUGAUUCCCUGUUGUUAACAAAGCCCUGAUUCUUCUUUUGAGUUUAGGAUCUGUUUUAUGAAUAAAAUGUCAAAGUUAGGUGGAUUCACAAGCACCUGAAGAUAAGUGAAAAGCAGCCAGAGUUCACAGAAAAACCUUCAGAAAUCAUGUAGACCACAUGUGUCAAACUGAAAGACCUGUGGGCCAAAUAUGGCCCGCCGUAGCUUUUUAUGUAGAUAGAAAAUAUUAUGUUAUCAAUCAAAUCAAUGCAGUUUUUAUCCAUUUACUGCCAAAUUAUAUCAAUCAGUCCCUCCAGUUUCUUGGGAAUUAUCGUGGAAAUUUACGCAAGAUCAACAAAUCCCUGCAUUUUUUUGUGCUAAUAAUUGGAAGUUUAUUGCAAAUUUUUCU